GACGAACGCUGGCGGCGUGCUUAACACAUGCAAGUCGAACGGAAAGGCCCUGCUUGCAGGGUACUCGAGUGGCGAACGGGUGAGUAACACGUGGGUGAUCUGCCCUGCACUUCGGGAUAAGCCUGGGAAACUGGGUCUAAUACCGGAUAGGAGCCAUUUUUAGUGUGAUGGUUGGAAAGUUUUUUCGGUGUAGGAUGAGCUCGCGGCCUAUCAGCUUGUUGGUGGGGUAAUGGCCUACCAAGGCGGCGACGGGUAGCCGGCCUGAGAGGGUGGACGGCCACAUUGGGACUGAGAUACGGCCCAGACGCCUACGGGAGGCAGCGGUGGGGAAUAUUGCACAAUGGGCGCAAGCCUGAUGCAGCGACGCCGCGUGGGGGAUGACGGCCUUCGGGUUGUAAACUCCUUUCGCUAGGGACGAAGCUUUUUGUGACGGUACCUAGAUAAGAAGCACCGGCUAACUACGUG
rnacentral:rRNA from 1 species